GACGAACGCUGGCGGCGUGCUUAACACAUGCAAGUCGAGCGGAGCGGCGAACGGGUGAGUAACGCGUGAGUAACUGCCCCCCUCUAUGGGAUAACAGUUGGAAAAGGCUGCUAAUACCGGAUAGCGGGGGAUGACUCGCGUCCUAUCAGCUUUUUGGUGGGGUAGUGGCCUACCAAGGCGACAACGGGUAGCCGGCCUGAGGGGGCGACCGGCCACGUUGUGCUGGUAUACAGCCCAAAAUACUACGGAAAGCAGCAGUGGGGAAUAUUACACGAUGGGGGAAACCCGGAUGGAGAAACGCCGUGUGCGAAAUGACGGCCUCCGGGUAGUAAACCGCUUUCAGCCAUGACGCGGUAGUGACAGAAGAAGCACCGGCUAACUACGUGCCAGCAGCCGCGGUAAUAC
rnacentral:rRNA from 1 species